GUGUUACGGUACAGAGUCAAUGUGGAGGCUAUAUACAGGGUAUUAUGGUACAGAGUCAAUGUGGAGGUUAUAUACAGGGUAUUAAGGUACAGAGUCAAUGUGGAGGCUAUAUACAGGGUAUUACGGUACAGAGUCAAUGUGGAGGCUAUAUACAGGGGUGUUACGGUACAGAGUCAAUGUGGAGGCUAUAUACAGGGUGUUACGGUACAGAGUCAAUGUGGAGGCUAUAUACAGGGUAUUACGGUACAGAGUCAAUGUGGAGGCUAUAUACAGGGGGUACCGGUACAGAGUCAAUGUGGAGGCUAUAUACAGGGG
ensembl:lncRNA